rnacentral:misc_RNA from 1 species
AGAUUUUGAUGAUAUGCCUACAGGAGACUAAACUACAGGAAAAAGACGUUGAAGCGAUCAAGGAAAGUCUCCAUGACUAUAAGAAUAGCUUUUGGACAUGCAGUGUCUCUAAGCUUGGAUAUUCUGGUACUGCAAUCAUCUCACGAAUUAAACCAGUUUCUAUCAAAUAUGGUCUCGGUAUACCAGAUCAUGAUACUGAAGGACGACUUGUUACGGUGGAAUUUGAUAACUUCUAUUUGUUGUGUGGAUAUGUUCCAAAUUCUG